AGAACCUAACUUGACAACAGGUCAGACAAUCUAAGUGCUGAUGAGAUUUCAUCUUCAUCUAGAGAUUUUAAUGUGCAUUCGUUACCAUUUUCCACGUUUUAUAGACCAUUCAUCACUUAGCUGAGAAAAGAAAAAUACAAAGUGCACCUAUAAAACUAAUAAAACUAUGUCGAUAUAAAGUAAAACAGUGGUUAGUUCAGUUCCCCAGUUUUUUUUCCAUGAGCAAAGUAACUACGAGAAAUGAAUUUGAUUGGUUGGUUAGUUGACGAAAAUGCAGUAGAUGGUUUCAUUUGGUGGUUAAAGUGCACAUUUAACAGAAAGUUAAAUGAACCAUGUGGCGAUAGCAAACACAUUUCUCCCGUUUAUACAACAGCAAAAACUUUGUUGCACUGGAAUUUGUUCCUGUUGCAUUUCAUACCAAAAAAUAUCACAAAUCAGUCUUUUAAUCUCUGUUGAUAUCCAUAAUCUUAUUUUCCAAAUCAUUUAUCUAAUUCUUGUGUUGGGGAACAAAUAGGCAUUCCAUCUUUGGCUUCUUUUGUUAAAUGAUAACAUUUCUUUAUCUUUCAGAAAGUAAUUGAUGAUGUCGAUACCAACAUACAGAUAUGAUCAUUUCAAAUAAUAUUCUGCCCUUCUAAUGCCUGGAGAAAAACAGAGAGGGAGGCAUAACUUGGGCCAAACAUUGUCUGCUUUAGGCAGAAAAGACACUGAAAUAGAACCUGCUAUCAUCCUAACCUGCUGUUAUCUCAACCCUCUCCUUCGACAAACAAACAACAUCAGGUCCCUAACAAGCCCUCGUGGGGAUUGGCCCUUCCAACCGAGGGAUCACUGCACUGAUUGGCUGAAGGAUUUGCUCGCUCUGCAGGGGUGACACAAUGACCCAGUGCAAUUAUUAUAUUCUAACUCUCGGUGCUGCAUAAUUGUUUUAGGGAGUGCAUUGCUAAUAGUAUUACUCCAAUUUGAGUCAUAUUUGAAAAGGGCACACAGAAAAGUCUUUCUUCUUUAUUCUCAUUUAACAAAACAAAAAGUCUGAUUUAAUGAGCCCUCAUGGGAGAAGAGCUCUCUCACUGCUUCCGCCGUCUGAUGGAAGCAUUAUGUUGCCCUUUGCAGGUGAGACAAGGCUUUGCGACUAUUCCUGAUCAUAUACUAACCGUAUAUGGUUUUUCACCAUAGUUACGAUAAUAUAAAGUCAGUGAAAAGUCAGAAAACACGAGGAAAUCCAUAUAUUUUUGGUUACACCCUGCACAGUUACAGUGUUUGACUUUAAGCUUUAAUUUGAGCGUGCUCUCAUCUGCACUGGGUCAGCAGCGUAGGAGUCCAAGCCAUUAGUGCUCCACUUUCAGGACAAUAAUCCUGAAUAUAUGGCAAAAGCAAACAGUGGAAAGAGCUUCGCUAGCCACAUCAGUGACCUGAGCUUAAUUCAAGUAAACAUAACUUUUGUCAGUUUGUUAACUUUGUGAUAAACAUUGGGAACUUAUUUAUUACCGGUACCAUAUCCGUUUAAAAUGGGUUGCACCAUGGACUAAUCAACAGAAGUUGUUGAUGUCAAUGAACUAUGGGCAAAUAUGUCUGUAGGGUUAGGGUCAGUAAGUGAGAAUAAACAAAGUAUUGAACUUACAGCAAGGUUCAAGUCUGUAUCUUCUCCUGUGUUUUUGAAUCAGGCACUGAGUUAAUGUAGAUGCAGACUGUGCUGAUAAACUUGCAUAAUCAUACUCCACCAUGACGCAGCAAUACUAACAUCUGGCUGAAAGCAACUACCUGCUUUUUAUUCCCUCCAUGCAACACGUGAUCAGCUGGAAGAGCCGACUUAAAUGGUGUCAAAACCAUAAAUGCUUACAUAAACCCAACGCUGCCCGCAUACUUAUAUUAAUAUUUAUUGAUAUAAAUAAAUAACAUAUACACAACAUAAUUACACAAACUAAUUUCGAGUCUUUUUAGUUGCACCACUACUUAUUGAGGGUAUGCAUUGACGUCACUGCCGCUCGGGGCCACGCCCCCCGGAGCGUCAAAAACAUGGUGAAAUGAAAUGUAUCAGUAAAUACAGCGAGACCGGGGAAACGUGGAUUACCAGAUCAAAUUAAAGUGGCUGUAACCACGGAGACCACUUGCUGUGACGUCACGUGCGUACCCUCUAUUGCAAUGGUUUGGUCCAUUGGAGGAGGAGCUCUGAAUCAGGUGGCUGGGCCUACAGCGCUUCUUUGGUUCACGUGGAGACAACCAGGAAGAGGUGCCCUGUCUUUGACUUCCCCUGCUUCUGAAUCACGUCUUCCCUCUGCACGGAGCAGUAAGCAUGAUGGCAAUUUUAUACUGUUGGAUUAAGGGCUGAAUAAAAGUCUACGCUGCUUUUGAACAAGGUAAUGGCACACUCUUCCAUCUACAAGUAAAUGUUAAAAUCAUAAGCAAUAAAAUAGUUAAUUUAAUACACCGACAGGUUUUUUAUUCUCAAAUCUUACUUAGGCUACAUUUACAAUGUAAGCCUUAAUGCUCAAUUUAGAUUUAUUACUCUGAUCGUGUAUUCACAUCAUUUUCUAAAAUAGGGCAAUAUUGCAUUCUCUUGUAAUCUAGAUCAUUUUCUGGCCUGACCCAUAGGUGCAAAACACCAUGGCUGCUACUUCUAUACGGCGUUGCGUAGGGAUGGGCAUCAGGGUUCAUUUCAUCGAUAUCAUUAGCCUUCAUGUUUAUCGAUUCUUUUCGUGCCAAAUCUUUACGUCCCAGGCCAGAUGGUGGCGGUAAUGCACCUAAAAGUUGUUUGCCAACUGCUAUAAAACAAAAGAAGAAUGUUUACGUCAAAGCACGUCAUUCACUGAAACGGUUGAAAGUGUGGCUUCGCGUCACCUGAAGGGACUAUAACGCGCGAUGUGUGACCUGUGCAGCACCGUAAUUUCAACACCACCAACGAGCUGAAGCAUUUGUGGACAAUUAAAUACCGAGAGACAGUCUCCUGUCAACAGGGGCAGCUAUCGCUAAGUCUCAGCGGAGCAGUGCUAGUGAGGAUCCAGUGACCAGUUUUCUAUUUGUUCCCGGGUUUAGAAACUCAAUAAAACUGCUGUUUACACGAAUCCACGGACGCCUACUUUUUCUAAACCAGAAAUUCACAGAAGGAAUUGAUAAGGGAAUCAAUAAUGCCACUGUUAUGAAAGCAAUUGCAGUUGUAAGAGGGAUUUCAGUAUAAUAAAUUACAACAUGUACAUAAACUGAUCAGUAUGGUUGUUUAAAAAUAAAAUAUUCAUCUCUUUUUAGUAAUCACUAAAAUAUCUAAGUUGGUGCUUAUGCUCUAUUACUUAUUUAAUUUGUUUGUGUGACAAACUUCCAAGUCCUCCUAACCUAAUCACGGGCCAAAUUGAAAUUCCCUUUUCAAAAACCCAACAUAUGGGGUUCACACCUCCCACAGAGACGGUCCGCUCGCUCUUUGGAACAGGUUGAACCUCCCCUUCCUCUCACUCCCAGAGACUCCAUAGCUUUCUUCGGUGACACGGCCGCAGUCGAUAAGCAGAGUAAUCAUAAACACAAUCAUCAUUACCAUAAUCACAACAGUUAUGAUCACCAUAAUCGGCAUCAUAAUCAUAAAGCUGACAGGGAUGCUAAUCAAAAUGCUGUUGGUAGAGUGGAAAACUAAGUGAAUGGAUGUGAAGGUAUUUAUCUCCAUUUUAAAGAUGGCAUUUAUUUUUUCAAGACUUUUAAAUGUGACAGCGUGUAGGGAGCCAGUGUGAGACUGUGUGAUUACUGCGACGUGUAAUAAGUGUGCAUGCCAGCACGUGUGUGCCAAGGUAAAGUGUUGAAUAUACAAGGGUAGGUUAAUGGUUGGCAUUGUUGUGGUUUUGCAAUAUUUUGUCCUUAUUGUCAUAUGUGUUACAUUUUUGUAGAUUCACUAAAAGAUCAGUAUUUACUAAGUAGACACUCCCCAUAGUGAGCAGAUUUUUAAAGGAAACAUUCUGAUCUUUCAACAUUUUGCUCUCACUGCUGUUACAGAUUUGAUCAGACAACAGUGUAGUUGGUCUUUGCAAAAGGAAAUGUGGUGUUUGUUAUACAGAGCACAGAACUGAGAUAUGAGCACGGAGGUGUGGUGUGGGGGGUCACCUGAGAGGCCUCCUAAUGCGAGGUGUGAACUCACUCGUUGAAGUCUGCCCACUUGUGAUCGAAUCACUUUUUUUUUUUUAAAUGGAUGUUAAUGUCAGGUGUGAACAGGGACGUCGUCUUCCCGGAGUCAGUUCAGCGGAUGCGGCGAGUGCACAGCUCGCACUUAAACGCAGACAACAGUAUGCCGACACAGUUGCCACCUACGGCUUUGCAAAUGGGAAUGUUUUUCCAUUGGAUAAUUUCAUAGUUUCCGUGAGCCCGACCAGCUCGUGAAGCAGCCGGUUGGAAUGACCGUGCUGGGGAACAGCAUGGAAUCCACAUCUAGGUCAACUUCUCCACGAGUGCCAGGAGCCCCAUUUGUGGCAUUUAUUGCCGUUGCCUCAAUUUCAAGGACGCGUGGGCCAUAUAUAUUCUUUCUUUUGCUGAUGACUUUUAGAUGGGUGGAAUAUCUGCCUACCUGCGCGACGCUCAGAGCCAAUCUGGACGGUUUCUUGGAGCCUGGUCUGUACGGCCAAAGCUGAGCGCACUCUUUUCCUACGUCAGUCUCAUCUUGUUCCAACGCCUUUCAAUCCUCGCGAUCAAUGUGGCCGUGAGUCCUGGCCAGAGUGUGUAAUGUUACACCAGCUACAGCUGACGUAUCCAAGCUCUCAUCAGGUUGAGUCUUGACCACGAAAGCAGCAGCAGCAGCAGCACGGCUGCUUCUUUUAGUCUCAACAAAUCAGUGCCCCAAGAGCGCCAGCGGUGAGCGUCACACAAUACACCGUCAAGACUCGCAACAAAACGGAACACAAUGCGGAGGUUAAAGUUCACACAGCGGCAGAAAGAGAGUUUUCGGAUGCCGCGCACAAAAGGGAAAUGUGUCAGAAUGUUUUUGAGGCCCGGCGUGCAUUGUGCGAGGAAGAUAUUUGUUUGGGGAUGAAAGGGAGCUCAUAAUUUCUCUGGAGUGCACUUGUUAAAAGUGUAGAUAAGUCAUUGAGCUCUCUUUUAUCUCUCAGGAUGACAGCACAUUAAGCUCCAUAUGGCUGCGGGCUGACAGCACCAUGCUUUCGCGUUUUGCAUCAUUGAGGCUUGUUUCAGAUACAGAUAAAACACACCCAGCGAACGUCACGUUUAUGAAGUAUUUAUAAAACAACUCGGUUAUAGAUCUUAUUAGAUGUUGACGCGAUGGUGCGUGACAUGUCAAAGAAGCUAUGCCAAUGCUUAUUACGCCAAUGGGCGCCAGGUAAAUCUGUAAUUCUCAGUAUUAGAGUAGUUUUAAAUCUGAUGUCUGCAUUGGUGCCGGCAGCGCUGCGUUUUAGAUCUGUGACUGUGCCAGAGCUGAAGAAGGGAGCGAUCGCAGCAGCGGAGACAGCUCCGGUGAGCUCUAGCAAGGACGUGCAUGAAAAGGUCUGAAAAGGCAGAGGAAAGAGUUACAGGUGCAUCUCGGAGUUACAGGGAGUUCACCAUCUGCGGUGGUUGGGAAGUAUGAAGUAGAACUGAGGAGGCAUCCGAGUGAAGCACCUGCUGCUCCAGACGAAAAAGAAUCCCUGCGUUCAGGGGGAAUGCUUACAGUCUACAAAAAAUGAUCGAUGGUGUGGAGCGCUGAGAAGGAAAAAAAACUGCUUGUGCCACAUGCCACAACUGUUUGCGUAAUUACUCAAGGACAAUCCACUAUUUAUGCGCCUUAUAGUGACGUAUGGUGCAUAAACACCAUAACGGAAGUGAAAUCAUCAGGCUUCAAGAGCAGACCAAAGGACAGAUAUGUACUGUAUGUAAUACUUAUUUGAAACGUGGCAGUCUUCCGGAUGCCUCCACAGUUGUAGUGAAAAGUCUCGAAACGUGCCAGACGAGAGACUCCUAAAAUAACAUCUCAAGUGUUCGGCCACGAAUGGUUGCCAGGAAGACAAGCACGUUGCUUACGUAUCUGAUGUUACGUCUGAGCUACUUUCUCAACAAGUACUUAACUUGCUUAACUUUUCCUACAAUGGCUUCAAGACCUCAGACCUUUCCAACAUGUUGUCAGACGUUAUUUUGAACGCUUGCCAGCUACAGACAUGAGGUGCUCAGAGGGCACAUUCAAGAAAGUAUAACUGAGCAAAGGAGGGCUGCAUGAUGCCAGUGGACAAACAAAUGAUAGUCCUCAUCCCUGAAGAGUUUUGGUCUAUUUUGUCUGUUUGUGAAAGUAAACUGAAAAAGAUCAGAAGCUAUCUGGGCGCGUCAGGGUUAAAAUCCCAUUGGCAGCAACCGCAGGUUAUUUAGUGUAUAAUUUGGCCUGUUCGUAAACUGGGACAGGUUUAGUGUAAUUAAAUCCCCCCCGACUGCCGAAGUCCUUUAUGCACUUUUAAACUAAAAAUGCACUCAACAAAGGGAGAAUUUGAAAAAUCUAUGGUUGUUUUUUGUAAUCUGGGCAUCAUUAUGUUCUGCUAACUCACUGCGUGCCAAAAACAUAUUUGGAUGUUUCAGCAUCCGUUUUCCUUCUCUCACGGUUGCUGUCGCGGACGUGUUUCACCGCUGUGGCUUUUCACCGACAGAAUUGCGGUAAAUGACGGUGGGAUCGUCACAGCAAGUGGGCAAACCUACCCACAACACAGAGGCCCCGUAGAGCCUGAACGCACGUCUAAGAAAUAUAUGGUGAAAUAUAAAAUGCAGCAGAAACGAGAAGCAAACGUUUAGAUUCAAACGGGAGCAGCUCCAGAUUCUGUGACUGAAAAACAACGUGUGCUCUGCUGCAGCCAGAGCUAAGUUGAGUUUUCGUUGUCAUCGCAGCUAUUUACAGAGUUCACAGUGGGAUGAAAUUGCGUGCCUUCAGGACCGUGAUGUGACGUGCCAUUUAUCAUCCAGGUCCUGAAGUAAACACCGCGCACACGUUUGGCGCCAUUUUGCUACUUCCUGGCGGGGGAAAAGACAACAGGAGCACAAACGCGGCUGCAAUUGUCUUUUCAGUUGACACAACUUUAACAUUUAAUACUUGAGCAUGCUUGGUGACGCCGUGGCUUUAAAUGCACCAUGGUGCUUAUGCAAAUCAGAUUGCGACGUGCAGUUUCACUUCUCCGUCUGGCAUGAAAUUAAUGUUUUGUCUCAGUCCCUUAAAGGCAACUUUUUGUCGCGAACGCGAGCACAAAGAGUCGUUUUUUUUUCCAGCUUCAGUCGCUCUGGGAGCACGCGCAGACACACACAGACAUUUAAAACAUGUGACUAUAUUUUGCUUCUGGUUCACAGCAUGUGUAAUAAAUCCCUCCUACCUAAAUACUCCAGUAAAUGUGUUAAAACCAGCUGAGGCCCCGGUCGAUAUUAAUGGCUCAUUGUUAAAAAUACAGUCAUCCACGAUUCAACUUUUCUUUUCCGAGUCAAUCCUUUCCGCCGACUGAACAGUAUAGCAAUUGCACAACGACGGGGUGCUUUUCCAUCUCCAGUGUGUGAUUUGACAACGCAAGUCAAACAGCAUGUGUACUUUGAAAAUUAAUUACAAAGAAAAGAAGGUCCUUGUAGAUUCUGUGUUUUCGGCGCCGAUUCGAGAUUAAAGUGUGAAAUUGCACGCGCGCUGGAGCCGUCCUGCUUCCUGACAUCCAUCAGAGAGAAUUAUUCUGUAGUUAAAUCUCGCACACUCAUGUAUUCCCUCUAAAUUAAACGUGGUCGGCAAGACUGGAAUAAUUGGGCACAUGUAAAAAUACCCGCAUACGGCUGUAUGGAAGCUUCCAUACAUCUAUACGUUAAUCACUUAAUUAAACAGAAAAUACAGACGGAAUUAAUAAAACACACUUUUCUUUUUUUUUUCUGAUGAGAGCCUGGCCUGGCUUCUUCUCCUGGCUCAUUACAAAACUGUCUGCUGCAGUUACAGAGGCUGAGAGCAGCCGAUGUGAUUGGUCCUCAUGUGUAAGGUCCUCCUCUUACUGCAUUCCUCCAGCUCAUCGCACUCAGCGCACACACCACACUUCUGCUCCUGUCAUCAACAUUUUAUUUCUCUUUCUUUUCUUUUUUUUUAAUUGCCAUCACCUCUCUAGACGAGCGUCUCCGUAGGUGUGAUGACAACACAGUAAUAAGGCAGCAGCCUGUCUCUAAACAUAAAUCCACUACAGACUCUGCAGCACAAUCAAACAGAUCAAAACAACCGUCCUGUGUGUGUGUGUGCGCGCGCGCAAAUGCGUUCAGGAGUGUGCGCUCGGCGUCGCAGCUGCAAGUUUGACACCAAUUUGGUGCUUCAAGACAUCAUCAUUGUGAGGGAAGUAGUCUGGCUGUGUGUGUGUGUCUGUGUUUGUGUACAUUUGUGUUACAUAUGGUGUUGGGGACGUGAUGUGUUUACACGUUCACAUUUGCGGGUGCUUACUUCCCAUAAUGUGAACCAUUAUAUUUGACUCAGAUUUAAAUUAGACAAAGAUUUAGGAUUAGGAGAGCAGUGUCUCCAGGAAAUGAACGCAGCAGUGUAGUAGUGCGACGCGCUCCUGCUGAACACACUGCUUCACAGCAGGAUUUUUCACUCAGACUUGCAGUUUUACAACUUUUGCCGGCAACAAAGAGAAGGACUGAAUGUACAAUUAAAGACAAAAAAAAAAAAAAAAAAAAACAGAAUUCCCACUUGUAGUGAGGCUUUAUUGUAGAUGUGUCGAAACAGUUGGUUGCAUUUCAUUUUGCUUUUGUAUAGUGUGUAUAGAGUAAUACUUUUAAUACGCUCUCCAGGACCAAUAAAUUAUGUUGUCUUGCAUCAUGUCAUAAAGAAAGUGACAUUUGCAGCCUUUGUUUGGAUGCAAUUUGCUGCCAUUAACUGACACAUGCACACACACAACAUACUGUAGCUUGCCUAUAUAGGUGGUGGCGUGGAUUCUGUGGCCCCACGAGGGCUGAAGAACUGAAAACUUCACCAGUGUCACUGUGUCACUAUGUCCCCAGUAACAGCAGGAGACCUCCCUUUGAGACUCUACUCAACAUAACCCAGGAUAUUUAAUCCCGUUGCAUGCUGUGUGCGUGGCAUUUUUGAACUAUGACAACAGUGCUCAAUUCAAAAUGAUGAAAAAUGAUCCCUCCAGGAGUGAACAAACAAAGAAGAGUGGAGAAAAGAUGAGCUGUGUUGCCCGUGAUGUCCACGUCUACGUCAACCCACUGCAGCCAGAGGUCUUGUUAGCUUAGUUCGAAGGCUCAAAGAACUUGAAUACGCUAGUAGUUAAAUAAUUAAGACACAUUGCCAUAUCAAUAGUUUUACCUGUUGAUAUUAGAAGUGACACAAAAAAAACCAACUAAUUUUAACACUUAAAACACUUUUUUUUCCCUCCUUGUAAUGUUGGUUAGCUGUUAGCUGGAUACGCUUUGCCUAGGGCUCCUACAGGCUCCAGAAUCUCCUCGGCUUUCCCUCAGGCAAAGAUGGAUAUAUUUGGAGGUUCUGUUCUCGUCCAUCAGCAGGAAAUCUGUUGUUGGACUGAAAAACCGACUGAGAAACAGAAAGGGAAAGAAUCGCCUGUGGGAAGUUGGUUCCAUAAUGGAGGAAGCAUAUAAAAAAGAGCGAUAAUAGAAAGUUAGCAGCGGGCGGACGUAAACAGGAGAACGGAUGAAAGGACAAAAUGAUAAUGCACAAAAUAAGAAGGUGCAGAUGAAGGAGAGCCUAAGAAGAAUAAAGCUUUUUUUUUUUUUUUUUUUUUCUGACGUCCGAGUUGUUGAUUCCAUCCGUGGACUGGAUGAAGCAUGACGACACGCGGCAAAGACCACAGGCCACUUCCCCCUCGCAGUUUAACUACCAUUCAUCCCAAACACGCACCUGUUGAAUGGCGUUCUGAUUGAGCCUCGAGUUCAGCACUACAUUUGUUAGACUCUGUGCACCAGGACUCAUUUCUAGUAGUAAUGACUGAGCUGCCGUUGUUCAGGCUUCUUGAAGAAAGCCGACCGGCCUCUUCGCUCCCGCGUACCUUUUUCCCUCCAUCUGACCUCCGAGCUCAUUUUCCAUUCCCCUCAUUUAUGUCAGGUUGUUGACACUCAGUUGGAGACCGGAGAUUAGCAAUGUGUUUGUUUGUCUCCGCGAGCGCCCGGAUUCAUUUCUCACACUAAUGACCGGGCUGGUUAUUAAUGGAUGAUAGCGGUAAUGGGGCUGUCACUUUUGGAAUUCGUACUCUCGUGUUCGGUGGCUUUGCUUCCGUUACUCUCCGCCCACGCUGUACUAUUUUUCCUUUGGCCGGUAUCUCUCCCGACUGCUUUGUACGCCGUAAUAUGUGAUAACAUAAAUAUUUCACUGGUCUCAACUUGCACUGGAAAUAUUUAUUCUGCUGUACGUCGGAGGCACAUGCAUACAGGCUGUUAUGUGAAGACGAUUGAUCGAGCAUGGUCUCCUGCAGUACGUUACACCAGUCAGGCUCAACAUUUAUAGCCUUACCACUGCAACCAUCAAUAUGUGGUGCAGAUCAUUAUGAAUGUAAUUUAAGCUAUACAGACGCUGACUCCUGGUUAGCUAUUGGUAGCAGUAAAGAAUAUUAGUUAUGUGAGUUGUUUGUGUAUUAGACGAUAUUUAGCAUUCUACAGUGCUAAACAUAAUGCUAUUUGAAGUAAGCUAACUGAGCGUAGACCAUACCACCAUGAAAAAUCAAAUGUUCUCAUUCCCAGUAGUUUAAAUAGCAUUGUUGGCAUUAUUUGGUGCAUCUGUCUAAAGCGAUACACAAAGCUAGUGCAUGUUCAUUCCUGAUUCAUGUGGUGAGUUUACACCAAAAUCAUCGCAGUGACGAGCAUUAAAGAAGGCUGAACACUAAGACCGUAUGAUGUUAUUUACAACGUUUAAAGUCAGGCAGCUUGUAACUGGGUGCAAGCGAAACCUCCAGGUGCAAACACAAGUGGGUGUCUUUUUUUAUUUUUUUUUUUAAAAACAGUUUUUGUGACAUCGGUGGGAGGAAUACCGAAUCAAUAAGUGGAGUCAGGAUGAGCUUUAGUGAGGACAAAUCACAUGAGCCCCUCUCAGCACCAUUUAAGAGCAGUGGAAAGCCGAGUCGAGGUGCUGGAGAUGCUCAGGCCACAGAGAGAUGAAAAUAGUCUUUUCUGAAGCACCAGCAAGUCCAAAAUGUAAUAACUCACAGAAUCCUAUAUAUGAAUAUCCACCAAAUGUAUAUACUCUAGUGGAAGGGACAGACGGCUCAU